GCUUUAUCUCUGAAUUAUCCCCUUUAACAGUUCACACCUGACUAAGGUUAUUUUAUGGACCUGCAGGAACUUACCACCAUUGGCACGACACACAAAAGCCCAGUCCCAAGCAAAUGUGUCUGAGAGUCAGAUGGAACUGGACACGUGGGGUAAAGGUCUUGCAGGAAGAAGAGCCAGGCCUGGCAAAGGGGCGACUGCUGAGGUUUACAAGAUGCGGCCCUGGUAGGAUGCUGCAGCCUCCAAAACAGCAGGAACAAACUGGCAAGGAAAACUGCCGCCUGGAUUUAAUGCCACUGGUAUCUCAGGGCAACAGCUCCAGGGACACAAACACCGUGCUGUGUGGACCAAGGCUUUGGGACACUGUAUCAGUUGCAAGCUGUACCAGAAGAUAGCAGAGGAGCUACUUACUGGUGUGGCAGGAGUACUGGUAACUAUGUAGCUACCUCUGACAGCAAAAACAGAUUCAUUUAUUUUAGUUUCCCGGAUUCAGCCUCCUAGCAGCAGAGAUAACCACUAACUCGGAGAAGUCACAGCUACAGCAUAGGGAAAAAGAGCUGGGCAAGACUCAUCUUUUGCUCAAGGCAGAAACCUCCAGCAGCACAGGCCCAGAAGUCAGCACACUCUGGAAGCAGCAGGCAGGCGAGAGCAGUUUCCUGCUUCCUUCCUCUUCUGUUUUAAUUGAAACAACAUUACAGUGGAGAGUAAGUUCUGCUUCUCCACUCCCCAUACUUCUGGUUUCAGCUCAUCUGAAGUUAGCACGUAAACCUAUGAAAGGUAUGUUGUCCUCUGAUUUGUCACUAACAAACAAAAAUUUGUCACUAACAGCCAGGCAACAGACCACAGCAGCCACAGGUUUAGCAAGACUUUUUUACAUAUUGUUUCUCACUUAGGCUGCUUUCAGAACAGGAGCUGGAGUUCUUUCUGCACUCCAGAAAGAAAUUGCUGGACCUUUAUGAAGGUUUCUGUAUGUUUGUCUUUAAAAUGAAGUUUUUAUCCACUUCGUGAAGUUAUGUAGCAUUACAUUGCAGCAGUAGGUUUUGGAGCAGUGUGUUGCACACUUCUGAGUAUUUCAUCAGGCAUUACAGAAACUACAAAUGAGCAUUUUGCUGCUCUGCAAUUCUUGUUCUCUUAAGGGAAUUAACUACAAGCAAGUCAGCUAAGGCAGUGGUCUGGGGAGGAAAGAAAAUAAAGAAUUAAAAGAAAAACAAAAGAAAAAGACACCCACACACUUGUUCAUUGCAGGGGUUGUACAGAUGGCCAGUGGAUGUUUAAAUGACAAGAGUGCAAAACGAAAGCAACAUUGAACUUCAGGCUGUAGAGAAGACACUGUGCCAGAGGAUGCAGCACCCUGAAACCCAUUACACUUUUUCAUAGUAUCACUUCUGCACAUACUAUUUUUUAGCAAAUGUGAGGCACCAUGAGCCUAAAAGAAGCAUCAGUUUAAGCAGUCAGUUUGAGAACUGCAAGACAGUGGAGCCUUAUCAGACUAGGAGAAAGUAGACUGCUUACCAGGCAGAUUGAUUGGUUGGGAGAGAGUUGCAGGCUGUUGGGAGUGCUGUGCAGAUAUUUCUUAAACUUAGUGCCUCCCACAGUCAUAGAAUCACUCAGGUUGGAAAGAUCACAAAGAUCAGUGAGACCAACCACGACCCAACUAUAAGAACGCUGCACCCACAGUAAGGUAUUCCAUACCAUACAGAGAUGUGGAGAUGGUGAAACAUUGAAGAGGUCAACUGUGUUGUCCAGGAGGCAGUACGUUAUGCCAUGGCAAUAAGCACUGCUGCCCAGAGAUGUCUUGAUACCGCAAGUACAGUUUCCAUCUCAGGCCAGCAUUUACCACAGCUACCUCUCCACUACAGUAGCCAAAAUAUCCUCUCUGCAUUGAAUGCCUGUCUGUAUAAUUAAGAUGGCUUAAGAACAGGUAGAGUGGGUCACGGGCAAAGUUUAGUUUUGAUCACAGAGACCUCUGCUCUAACGGUUUCAGUAAUCCUGCCUGUAGGCCUACACACAGUCCUGGAGUUCCCAAAAAGCCAUGAUUCAUCACUUAUCACCCAAGCCCACUAGAGGGUGAAGUGCAAGAUUGCAUCUUAGUCAUCAAUGUGAAUUUAAUUGGGACACCUUUCCUGGCCUUUCUCCCAAAGCUACAAUCCAGCCAACAGAAAGAUCUUUUAUUAAAAAUGAAUGGAUAGCUUUUCUUUAUUGAAGUGCUAUCCUGUUUCCUUUACAGUUUUCCUCCCAUUCUUCUACUUCAAUGUUGGAAGAAGCAGGUCUGCCACAUAUCAAAGGCUCUAAGAUGUGCAAUAAAACAAAUUCACUCCAGGUUCUUCUCAUCUGUAAAUUUUCAGUGUAGCAGGUUAUUGUUUAAUGUCAAAAUACUGGAAUUACAUUUCUGGUAUUAAUCUCAGUCUUGUGUGGCUCUGCUCCCUACCACCACCUCAGCAAAAUGGUGGGAAAUACAUGGAAAUGUAUCACUAUCCUUGAUCUGAUGUGAAAUCAGACAAUAAAAGGGGAAAGGAAUUUAGGAGUAAAAGCUGCUGCCAUUCCAGUUUUCCAGUUGAGGAUAACAAAAUUAUUCACUUUUUUCCCCCCCAGCUUUUUGGGGCAAAUGAGCUGUACUCCUGCCUUCCAGGGUUGCUUUAAUUUACCUGCUUAUUUAGAACUGGCUACGGUAUUGCUCUGCUAAAUAAAGGUAGAUAAAGAGAGAAGAUUAGAUUCUCUCUAAAGUGAGUAAGAGUCUGGAAGUCUCUUUACUGUCUAAUGAUCUGCUACUGAGUUGAGUACAGAGUACGGAUCUCCACCAAAAUUAAGCAGAAAAUCUCCCACGGCCAAACCCUUAGCCAAAAUGGAGCAAAAAGAAGAGAAAAGCAGGGUUCUCAGCCUUUCCUUUCAUAAAGCACGGGAUAAAACUCCCCGAACCCAGAGAUUCUCCACUGACUCAGAUGCUGGGUCAAUAGCAUCAGCAGCCCUAAAAAGUUACAGAUUGCUUCACGAGAAAAAAAAAAAAUGGAUAGGAGGAAAAAUGUAAGCCGCUGCAACAUAUAUGAUAAAAUAAAAUCCUGCCAAAACCAAUCUGGCCUAGUGGCCAGGCAAU